AGGAUGAACGCUGGCGGCGUGCCUAAUACAUGCAAGUCGAGCGGUAAGGCCUCUUUUAGAGGUACACGAGCGGCGGACGGCUGAGUAACGCGUAGGAACCUACCCUAAAGUGAGGGAUAAGCACCAGAAAUGGUGUCUAAUACCGCAUAUGCUCUUCGGAGUAAAGCUACGGCGCUUUGGGAAGGGCCUGCGUAUGAUUAGCUUGUUGGUGAGGUAAAAGCUCACCAAGGCGACGAUCAUUAGCUGGUCUGAGAGGAUGAUCAGCCAGACUGGGACUGAGAACGGCCCAGACUCCUACGGGAGGCAGCAGUAGGGAAUCUUCCACAAUGGGCGAAAGCCUGAUGGAGCAACGCCGCGUGCAGGAUGAAGGCCUUGGGUGUAAACUGCUUUUAUAUGUGAAGAUUAUGACGGUAGCAUAUGAAUAAGGAUCGGCUAACUCCGCGCCAGCAGCCGCGGU
rnacentral:rRNA from 1 species